UACUAUGACUCGGGGUGCCCUUCCUUGUGAAGGCUGAGAAAUACCCGUACCACCUGAUCUGGAUAAUGCCAGCGUAGGGUGCUAGUUUUUGUUAUAU
rnacentral:ncRNA from 2 species